AUUGAACGCUGGCGGCAGGCCUAACACAUGCAAGUCGAACGGUAACAGGAAGAAGCUUGCUUCUUUGCUGACGAGUGGCGGACGGGUGAGUAAUGUCUGGGAAACUGCCUGAUGGAGGGGGAUAACUACUGGAAACGGUAGCUAAUACCGCAUAACGUCGCAAGACCAAAGAGGGGGACCUUCGGGCCUCUUGCCAUCGGAUGUGCCCAGAUGGGAUUAGCUAGUAGGUGGGGUAACGGCUCACCUAGGCGACGAUCCCUAGCUGGUCUGAGAGGAUGACCAGCCACACUGGAACUGAGACACGGUCCAGGCUCCUACGGGAGGCAGCAGUGGGGAAUAUUGCACAAUGGGCGCAAGCCUGAUGCAGCCAUGCCGCGUGUAUGAAGAAGGCCUUCGGGUUGUAAAGUACUUUCAGCGGGGAGGAAGGGAGUAAAGUUAAUACCUUUGCUCAUUGACGUUACCCGCAGAAGAAGCACCGGCUAACUCCGUG
rnacentral:rRNA from 1 species